AGAACGAACGCUGGCGGCAGGCCUCAAACAUGCAAGUCUAGGGGGUGUAGCAAUACAUCACCGGCGGACGGGUGCGUAACACGUGGGAAUAUACCUUUUGGUUCGGAACAACGCAGGGAAACUUGCGCUAAUACCGAAUGUGCCCUUACGGGGAAAGAUUUAUCGCCAAAGGAUUAGCCCGCGUAGGAUUAGCUAGUUGGUGAGGUAAUGGCUCACCAAGGCUCCGAUCCUUAGCUGUUCUGAGAGGAAGAUCAGCCACACUGGGACUGAGACACGGCCCAGACUCCUACGGGAGGCAGCAGUUGGGAAUCUUGGACAAUGGGGGAAACCCUGAUCCAGCCAUGCCGCGUGAGUGAUGAAGGCCUUCGGGUUGUAAAACUCUUUCGACGGGGACGAUAAUGACGGUACCCGUAGAAGAAGCUCCGGCUAACUUCGUGCCAGCAGCCGC
rnacentral:rRNA from 1 species